rnacentral:rRNA from 1 species
GAUGAACGCUGGCGGCGUGCUUAACACAUGCAAGUCGAACGAAGCACUUUAUUUGAUUUCCUUCGGGACUGAUUAUUUUAUGACUGAGUGGCGGACGGGUGAGUAACGCGUGGGUAACCUGCCUUGUACAGGGGGAUAACAGUUGGAAACGGCUGCUAAUACCGCAUAAGCGCACAGCAUCGCAUGAUGCAGUGUGAAAAACUCCGGUGGUAUAAGAUGGACCCGCGUUGGAUUAGCUAGUUGGUGAGGUAACGGCCCACCAAGGCGACGAUCCAUAGCCGACCUGAGAGGGUGACCGGCCACAUUGGGACUGAGACACGGCCCAAACUCCUACGGGAGGCAGCAGUGGGGAAUAUUGCACAAUGGGCGAAAGCCUGAUGCAGCGACGCCGCGUGAGCGAAGAAGUAUUUCGGUAUGUAAAGCUCUAGCAGCAGGGAAGAUCAUGACGGUACCUUACUAAGAAGCACCGGCUAAAUACGUG